CGGGUCUGUCUGUCUGCUCUUGUCUUGUAUUGUGCUGACUUUGAUGAUUUUUUUUUAUGACUAGAUUUAAAUAUAGUGACAGUGCAGUAUUAUACUUUAAGUACUAGUACUGCUUAAUUCGACACUAGGGACCAUCUUGACCUUCUUUUACAGUAUUAAUGAUUCUUUUAUUUUUGAGUACCCUCCAGCAACUAUCAAGAUGAAGAACAGGAAUAAAAAUUUUGACCAUUGAUCAUUUGUAUUUUUU
rnacentral:lncRNA from 1 species